CCUACGGGCGGCAGCAGUGGGGAAUAUUGCACAAUGGGGGAAACCCUGAUGCAGCGACGCCGCGUGAGUGAAGAAGUAAUUCGUUAUGUAAAGCUCUAUCAGCAGGGAAGAACAUGACGGUACCUGAGUAAGAAGCCCCGGCUAACUACGUGCCAGCAGCCGCGGUAAUACGUAGGGGGCAAGCGUUAUCCGGAUUUACUGGGUGGAAAGGGAGCGUAGACGGCAGUGCAGGUCUGGAGUGAAAGGCGGGGGCUCAACCCCCGGACUGCUCUGGAAACUGUACGGCUGGAGUGCAGGAGAGGUAAGUGGAAUUCCUAGUGUAGCGGUGAAAUGCGUAGAUAUUAGGAGGAACACCAGUGGCGAAGGCGGCUUACUGGACUGUAACUGACGUUGAGGCUCGAAAGCGUGGGGAGCAAACAGGAUUAGAUACCCCUGUAGUC
rnacentral:rRNA from 1 species